GAUGAACGCUGGCGGCGUGCCUAAUAAAUGCAAGUCGAGCGAACGGACGAGAAGCUUGCUUCUCUGAUGUUAGCGGCGGACGGGUGAGUAACACGUGGAUAACCUACCUAUAAGACUGGGAUAACUUCGGGAAACCGGAGCUAAUACCGGAUAAUAUUUUGAACCGCAUGGUUCAAAAGUGAAAGACGGUCUUGCUGUCACUUAUAGAUGGAUCCGCGCUGCAUUAGCUAGUUGGUAAGGUAACGGCUUACCAAGGCAACGAUGCAUAGCCGACCUGAGAGGGUGAUCAGCCACACUGGAACUGAGACACGGUCCAGACUCCUACGGGAGGCAGCAGUAGGGAAUCUUCCGCAAUGGGCGAAAGCCUGACGGAGCAACGCCGCGUGAGUGAUGAAGGUCUUCGGAUCGUAAAACUCUGUUAUUAGGGAAGAACAUAUGUGUAAGUAACUGUGCACAUCUUGACGGUACCUAAACAGAAAGCCACGGCUAACUACGUG
rnacentral:rRNA from 1 species